rnacentral:rRNA from 2 species
GAGACAGGUGCUGCAUGGCUGUCGUCAGCUCGUGUUGUGAAAUGUUGGGUUAAGUCCCGCAACGAGCGCAACCCUUAUCCUUUGUUGCCAGCGGUCCGGCCGGGAACUCAAAGGAGACUGCCAGUGAUAAACUGGAGGAAGGUGGGGAUGACGUCAAGUCAUCAUGGCCCUUACGACCAGGGCUACACACGUGCUACAAUGGCGCAUACAAAGAGAAGCGACCUCGCGAGAGCAAGCGGACCUCAUAAAGUGCGUCGUAGUCCGGAUUGGAGUCUGCAACUCGACUCCAUGAAGUCGGAAUCGCUAGUAAUCGUGGAUCAGAAUGCCACGGUGAAUACGUUCCCGGGCCUUGUACACACCGCCCGUCACACCAUGGGAGUGGGUUGCAAAAGAAGUAGGUAGCUUAACCUUCGGGAGGGCGCUUACCACUUUGUGAUUCAUGACUGGGGUGAAGUCGUAACAAGGUAACCGUAGGGGAACCUGCGGUUGGAUCACCUCCUUA